UUAUGAUGGAAUUUUCUGGUGCACGUGGCGCAGGGCUUUCCAUCGUACUGUGAGGGGGGGGGGGCUUACAGGGUCUUUCUUAGAUGUGUAAAAUGAAUGCUUUGUAAUGAAGUAUCCCACCCAGCACGAGUUUUUGCUACAUGGGGGAGGAAUGGGUGGGAGGAAGCAAAGACCAAAGGAUCGAGUAUGAGAGAAGAGAAGGAAGAUGUGGGUGGGAGGGGGAAGCAGAGGAACUGCUUCUUGACCUCAUUUGUUAAUGUGUAACAGGCCUUUCUGUGGGUUGUGUUUGACAACUGUUGCACAAUCUCUUGUGUUUUUCAAAAGCAGAGCGGUCCUUUGCACUCUGGCUGCCUCUUUUCUGUGCCGCCAUGGGUGUGGUGGUUUGGCAGUUUGAAGGUUCUGUAAAUGGUCAGCUUUGGCAAGAACAAACUCACAAACUAUCCCACUCUCUUACUAUUUGCUUGGACUGCUUUUCCGGCUUAGCCUUUUCAUUGCUUUGUUUUUCAGAUUUUUCCCUCAUAAGAUUUGCUUUUUAAAAUUGCAAGACAAGACAAGACAUGAUUUGAAACAGUCAAAAAUUAAGGCUCACUAUUGAUUUGCCAUUUUUUAAAGAACUUAUUCAGGAUUGGAAUUUGGAUGUCAAGACCAUUAGCAGGUUUUGACUGCAUCUGCAUAAUCUGGUCUCUUAAAAUAAAAUAAUUUAGCAAUUUCUAAUUACUUCAAGUCAAAUGAUACAAAUGAUCUGUGUAAUCUUUUAAGUUGUUUCAAGACUGAAUUUUAUAUUUUGUUUAUAAAUUUUUUCAUUUACCAUGUUCCUAUGCCUGCUGUUUAAGAUAGUGUCUCAGAAUGGAGCCAUUUUCCAUUCUCAUAUUUAGACAUACUGUAUAAAGAUAUCUAAAGAAUUUCUAAAGAAUGAUUAAAUCUUUCUCUAGAGUGAUCUUUAUAUAGUUGACUCAAAACAAAUUUGUGCUAUUCUAGGUAACACAAUGGUACUCCACUGUUGGUGAAAGGAAAGUGAGUGAAUUGAUUAGCUUUGGAUGACUCGAAACCCAAUUGCUAGCUCUUUUUCCCAUUUCACACAAGGCGUAUUGACACAGCCACUCGACUUUUGACCUUGCUGAUCACUCUGUAAGAACACAAACUCCAAGCCAUGCAUGGAAUAGCCUCUGGACAUUGGUCAACAAAGGCAGCUGCCUGUGAUAUAAAUGGGUUGUUAUGGAGGCAAAGUCCACUGUCCAAAUGCAGAGGCUCAAGGCAUCUGCUUAAGCUGAGAAGAUGAAUAGGUGCUCAGCCCCAUCUUAUCAAGCUCAAAGCAUUUAGUGAACCACUAGCUAGGUUCAAAAGGGUUCAAAUACUGUUUCAUUAAAAGAACAAUUAUAAUACAGGGUGUUUUUUUGCUUUACAGAAACACAGCAUUGUAGCAGUAUUGUAAGGCCUCUGGGCCAAAGGUGUGUUGUUUGGUGCUCUCUGGUGAAAUGUGUGACAUGAAUUACAUGUCAAAUGAAGCCAGAGGGGGAAAGAGAUUACGAACGUGGAAGGGGGAGGCUGUAUACAUGUCAGAUGAGUUUGAAUGGAGAAUGAAUGUAGACUUUGAUUUAAUCAGGUUGGUGAGAAAGAAAGCAAGAGACAGAGGGAUGGGCUGGAGGCUGAUUAAGAUGAUAAUUCAGGACUGAUAAAGACAUUAAUUCUAUGAGUCUGUAAAGAAAGAGAAUCGCUUUCUCUCUCUUUUUCUCUCUCGUGCUCCCUUUUUCUCACUUUUGCACUUUCUCACUCACAGCAGAGCUCUAUAUAUAUAACUCUGCAUGACACCUUAUUUAGGUGACUAUCUAUUUUCACUCCCCUGUCAUUAGUCUUUCUUUAGUUCUCUGUUUUGCUCCCUUUCUCUCCAACAGGCAGUAGGCUAAUGGAAAGCUGUAACAUAAAGGCAAAAGCAGGUCACUGCUGAUUGGGAACAAGGACAAGGGCUUUUUCUAAAACCGAAAAAAAAGGAGAAAGGAAUGCAGAACAGGAUUUAUGGUUAGUGCUAUUUUGGUUGGAGUCAUGAGGUUUCUAACAUUAGUGGCAUUGUUCCUCCUUGAGAGUCCUCAUCAGAUUGAGCCCUUGGCCAAACUGUCCUGUAAAGAAACCUUUAAUUAAAACACAGUUGCAUCUGGUUUGAAUUACCUUUUGUCCUUUAUGUGCAAAAAACCUUUAGAAAUUUAACUUAACUUAAAAGAGAGUUUAUUGAAGACAGUUAGGCAUUUAUGCCCCUGUGUCUUAUUAUAGUGUCUUAUCUCUAACCAGAGCUCUUAACUAUCGAUUUUUAAGGAUGACUUUCCAAUCUUUCAAGAAGAAAGGCUGGGUUUUCUCUGUUUGUAUCCAACAUUUAUUCAUGCCCUGCAGGUCUAUGGGAUCAUCUUCAUAUAUAUUUCAAAAAAUGUGCAAUCUCUCUCUCUCUCUCUCUCUCUCUCUCUCUCUCUCUCUCUCUCUCUCUCUCUCUCUCUCUCUCUCUCUCUCUCUCUCUCUCUCUCUCUCUCUCUCUCUCUCUCUCUCUCUCUCUCUCUCUCAGCCGCUAGUGCAAUAGGCAUGCAACAGCUGAGCUCAAUUGAAGCCUUCAUAUCUAUCUCUCUGUCCGGACCCCACAGGCUCCAUCUUUGAUCUCACAGGGAUCCAAAUGUUCAGUUUAAUAAGACACAGAUGAAGCCCAGCACCCUUGUUAUCCCACUCAGGGAAGGGACCCUGUUUCCUCCGGCCUUCACAACCACUUACACGCUAACUUUUGAGAAACAGGCCUCGCUCACGAAGGUCAGCUCUAUACGGUUUGAUCCGUUUGCUGUGAAACGUGUGACUGUUGUUUGAUUGAUUUCUCUUUUUGCAAUCUCAGACUGGCAGACAUAAGAACCCGUUUCUAACCCCCUCCUUUCCUUCUGAUGGAGUCCUGAGGGUUUCCAGAGAAGGGGAGGGUAGAGAGGCUGAUUGAGAAGUAACCAGAGGAAUGUAUUCUUCUCUUGCAUGAUUAAUGCCCUCUCGUCCUGCCACGGAGCCACACUGCUCUAUUUUUAGCGUGCAGUGUCAAAAAGGGGCCUGCAGGAAUCGCAGUGGGCUGCAAUUCACAUGAUGGAUGAAAUCAUCACAAAGUGUUGGAUCGCUGUCAAAUGUGGUGAAAAAAAAAUGGAGCGAGCAGUAAGCAGCGGCAAAGGGAGGGAGAGAAAAACGAGACGAGGCGAAGAGGAACAAAAACAAAAGAGCAUAAAAACAGAUCUCGACAGAAAAAAAGAAGGGAGCGAGGGAGAGAGAGGACGGGGGUGGAGAGGGGAGGGGAAGGGGGGGAGCAGACAGAAGAGGCUUUUGUGUGCAAGACAUCCAUUGCUGAGGGAGAGAAGGGAUUGGGAUCAGCUGAUGAGCUGAUGUGAUAAAGAAAAAAAAGGCGGCUUCUCUGCACACAGCACAAAGGCAGACAGGAGAGAACGUCAGGUUUUGACAUGAACCCAACCAGCUGCAGCUGCGGCCAGCCUUUUGGCUUUAUUACAGUUUGUUCUUCAGCUCAAUGCUGCCUGCCCAAAGUAUUGUUGCCAACUGCAUUUCCGACAAGUCUCAACUUGACACGUUUUCUGUCUCUGCACAUUUGCAAGCGGAGAUUUCUUUGCCUCCUUCAUGUUGGCUCCGCAAUGCUGGCCUGUUUUCCACAGUUUCGAUCUGGGAGCAAUUAGAGUUGGAUGAUUUUACUGGCACACAACCACAUACAGUACAAAUAUGAACCUCUCCUCCUUUAUCCAUGGAAAACAUGUCCUCCAGUUAGAGCACUCUGCUAUUCAACAUUGCAUAUUGGCUGAGAGCAAGAAAGAAGUAAAAAAAGAGAGAGACGAGGAAAAAGGGAUAACAGAUAAAGUGACUGAGUUCGUAGCACAGACUCAUAACUCAGUCGUCACCCGUGUUAUAUAACUGUGCCACGGUGAAUAAUGUGCUUGCUGUAUCCCAAAAGAUCAAACAGUGUCUCUGUUUUGCUCUCUCCUUCUUCUUUUUUUCUUUCUGGGCUUCAUAUAUUUAGACACUGUGUUGUCAUAUUGUUCUGUUUCUAUCUUACAUUCCUUAUUUGGGUUAGUGUAAAAAGAAAUGCUGCAUACUUAUAACACUGCAGUUUUAUUUUCAUCUCCAAACACAUUGCUAAAACACCAUGAGGUUUAAUCGUCUUUAAUUUGAGCGAAAGUCUCAAUUCACCAUUCUUUAUUUCACUCCAAACCCAGACUUGGAACAAAGCUACGCAUGAAAAAUGUGGUGUGUCUAACAUCCUGUCCACAUCCAGCCGCAUACAGACUGACUAUUUCUCAGAAGAAUGUGCUGGACCGAGUCCCGAAACACGUGGUCCGCGCCUCCUCUCAUGUUCCCAAACAAAGAGAAAUGUUAAUAACAUACUGCUGACGAAGGGUACAGGGAACAUGUGAAUCCCCCCGCUCUUUGUUUGUGCGCACAUCUGGGAUUCAGUAAUAGUACUGGUAGAAAAGGCAAGGUUUCUCCUCCCCCCUGUUAGCAGGCAGGCAGGAGUGUGUGGGAAGAAACCGAUCCGGUGUCAUGCUGCAUGGAAAGUUGUUGGCCAAGCCAAGCAGGAUAUGCUGGAAUGGGAGGGGGCAUUUCGGCACAAGGGAACGUUGAAAUCCAGCAGGCGCCCUGCCAAGAGCAAGAGAGAGUCUCUGAGUGUAUGAGAUUAUGAGUGUACUUGUGAGUGUGUGUGCGUGUGUGCGUGUGAGUGUUAUUGAGAUAUUUUCAUAACUGGCACAGUUUCAGGGUGGAUAUCUUACAGAAGUUUUGGUAGCACCUGCUUCUGGAAAGUUUAGCUGUCUGAUCUGCUGAGAUUACGGAAUGCCAGAUAUUGACGGAAUGACAGCGUUGUCAGUGCAGGAAUGUAGCUGUGAGCCAGCACUCUUACUCAUGUAUAAAUGUACCCACAAACUGGGCAGGGCAGGAACAAGACAGCGUUGUGAAUGGCAGGUUCAAAUUAUAGAACAAGCAUGAGGAAGGCGUGUUUUUUGCUUUCUGCUUUUUUUUUUUUUUUUUAAAAUCCGUCGUCCUGCCCCGACAAAGCCCGAAUACCCUGUUAUGUAGAGGGAGGAGUCUUCUCAGAAGGUAAUUAGAAUCAUUAAAAAAACAUUCACAAAACACUGACUGAAUUCAUUGCUUCAGAGUAAUUGGGUGUGACAUCUGCGGCAUACAGAGUGCAGAAAUAUAAGCCGGUGAUGACGGUGUGACGGUGACAUUAGAAAAAGAAUGCCUGCCCUCGUAGCAGCAUGUGAAACCCUGGCUUAUGUGUCAGUUUCUGCGGAGUGGUCCUAUGUGGAGGGAGACGUGGGUGGUAUGUUCUAGUGUGGAAUGAGGUUAAAUAUAGCUGCAGGGAUGAGGGUAUUAUGUUUGUGUGAGUGUUUAGGAGCUAGAAGCUAGGGGCUAUGCAUCCCCCGCUACUCCUACACCACCACCACUACCCCCUGCCUUAAGGUUUGGAAAUGCUAUUUUGGCUGCACACACACACAGACAGAAUAAUCACACAAGGUUUACUGACUUCCCUAUCAAGGACACGGGCAUGAACUGUCAGUGUAAACAGGAUGUUACACCAACGUCACUAAACCCAUGACAUAUCCCUUAGCACUGAGCAAUCCCUGCUAGAAAUAAUACCCAUCCUUAGUUCUACACUUUAGUCUGAGUGGUCAGUUUGGCUGAUGACUGCGAGCGCUGCUGUAAUGUCUGAUUUGGCUCACAGUGUCAGAUAUCGAGGAAAGGUUUAGAAGCACAUCAUCACAUCUGUUAUCCCUGUGGCCUAUAGAGCCGGUCUGAAGCACUCGGCUUCAAAUAGAGUCAUUGAGAGUGCUGGUAUUUUAAGAGCAGGAUGCCUCACCUUGGUUAUGUUGGUGUAAGAGUGUCACAAAAUGUUCAAGCCAAACCGUGGUUGAGUAGAGCAUGAUAUUUGAACUUGGGCCAAUGGACAGCUUUACAUGCAAAACGUGUUUGAAGCUUGUGCUGAAACUCUGUUCAAUACCAAACUCUGUAUUUGUUACUCAUGAAAGUUGACUCAAGAAACUUACGUAACAAGUAGCUAAAAUUAGCUCUGCAUGUUUGGCCAACGAUUAUUUAAUUGCCUCACUAGUUUUUAAAAACUAUUAAUAGUUAGGAAUAUUUUAGCAUUCCUCAAAACAGAUUAAGUUCUACUGCAUCUGUGGCACAUGUGAUUACCGAAGAUUCGAUUUUCCUCACAUUUGCCUGUAUUUGAGUAAGAAGAACAGACAACUAUUAAGAACAAAUGGUGAAACUAAAACUAUGUCCUUACGUAGAUUUAUCCAACUUUCCAAUAUUUGAGCAAUAUCAUUCUUGGUAAAAGUGAUUCUUGUGCUUUCCCUUUUUGUGGUAAUAAUACAGUGUCAGGCAUUCUUCCAUCUGAAAAAGUAGUUCCUUUUUAGAGAGGAUGAAUUGUUGCUAGGAGAAUGCAGAAAGCAUUCUGUUAAAAUGUGAUGCGCAUAAUUUUUUUUUUUACCUAACAACUGACCAUGGAAUUGUAUUAUACAUGAGUUUUAAGUCAGUUUCUUUUCUUUUGUUUUCUCAGCAAAGGUGAAAAAAAAUUGAUGGAGAGCUUCUUGACUUUCGAUUAUGCAAACCUCAGCAAAUUUUAUUUCAAAUGUCCAUACAGACAUGUAGUCAUGGAGAUGGAUGUAUGUGUCACCAGGUGUGUUUUCAAAAAAUACUUUUUUUAUUCUCCUGUCAGCAUUGUGUACCAUCUAUUUGUGUCGUGUGUCAUCGUUAUGCUGAAUUGAUUCUUGACUACAUUACUACCCGUGUAACCUGACUACGUCACGUCACAUGGUGCAUGUCACACGUCAGACUGUAAGGUUUGUCACUUUGCAUUCUUUAGCCUUAAUCUUAGUCUGUAAGUUUAGCUGCUCGGUUUGAACUCUGUUUUAUCCAAUAAAAGCCUGCGUGAAGUGGAUUCAAAAGUGAUCAGAUUUAAAUAUUUACUUGGUGAUCGCUGAUAUUUCGUUAUUUGAUUAUAUGGCAUAGUAUUUGACAUUCACUUCAGAGGGAUUGACCCUCACAUACUUAGGCUACACGUACUGUAAGCCUGGUUAUUGUUUCGAAGGCGACCGACAGAGACUAUAUCUGCUUUUUGUCCAAAAGGGACUUACUAUUGUUGGAAAUGUGUAUGGGAGGUGUUCAGAAAUGCACUGACUCUGUUCUCAUUACCCAGUGUCCUUGGUGAGUGGGUUAUAUUUAGCUGUUGUGGGCCUGUCAGAGUGCUGUGGCAUCUGACCCGAGCAUGCGGGCUCCGGCGCAGCUUCACAUUUCACAAGCUGAGCUCGGGCUCACUGGACCACUUCAUUUCCCCAGAAGGCGGUGAUUUAUAGAAGUGGAUCAGGUGUCCCGGCGUCUGCUGAAGCCAUCAGGGAGGAUUCAUUCGACUUUGAGACUUGUGACCUGAACCAAGGGCAAGACAGAGGCAGGGGAAACUUGAGACAAGUCUCUGGACCACAGCUACAGGCAACGCAUUGACUAAGCAGAGGGGUUGGCAGUGUUUAGCACUGGCCUUGACAUGAGGGAUCAGUGACGUUUCACACACACACAUCCACACACAUAUACACACACAAUGUUCAUUAAUCUUAUGAUGCUUCAAUAGUAUCCUUCGAUUCCAUCAGUGCGUUUUCCUCUCCUUACUGCAUCCCAGACGUCUUACUGCCUUAAACAUGUUUAUUCACCGUAUUUCAAAUCUUUCUCUCUGUAUGUGCAGUAUGUCCUAAGCACACACAGAUCUGCUCCUCUCUCGCUCCCUGCAGUGUCUGGCAGUCAGACGCUUUGGAGGAACGUUUCACCUGGCUAAAGCUAGCUGAGUUUUGACAGACUCAUAGAAAGAAAGAGAGACAGAGACAGAGAGAGGGGGGAAGUGGGGGAGAUCUGGGUUCCUGGAAACAUCCUGUCAUGUUCUAACAGGAAAAACUGUCUGUCUGCCAGCUCAGCAGCCCUCAUGAGUCUGGGUGCAGACACACUUACACACACGCACACACACACACACACACACACACACACACACACACACACACACACACACACACACACACACACACACACACACACACACACA